AGCGAACGCUGGCGGCAGGCCUAACACAUGCAAGUCGAACGAACUCUUCGGAGUUAGUGGCGGACGGGUGAGUAACACGUGGGAACGUGCCCUUUGGUACGGAAUAACUCAGGGAAACUUGAGCUAAUACCGUAUGUGCCCUUCGGGGGAAAGAUUUAUCGCCAUUGGAGCGGCCCGCGUCUGAUUAGCUAGUUGGUGAGGUAAAGGCUCACCAAGGCUACGAUCAGUAGCUGGUCUGAGAGGAUGAUCAGCCACAUUGGGACUGAGACACGGCCCAAACUCCUACGGGAGGCAGCAGUGGGGAAUCUUGCGCAAUGGGCGAAAGCCUGACGCAGCCAUGCCGCGUGAAUGAUGAAGGUCUUAGGUUUGUAAAAUUCUUUCACCGGGGACGAUAAUGACGGUACCCGGAGAAGAAGCCCCGGCUAACUUCGU
rnacentral:rRNA from 1 species